GCUGGGCAUGGUGGUGUACCCUUGUAGUCCCAGCUACUUGGGAGGCUGUGGUGGAAAGAUUGCUUGGGCAAGGAGUUCUGGACUGUAUUGCGCUAUGGCAGUUGGGUGUCUGCACUAAGUUAGGUGUCAAUAUAGUGACCUUUAGGGAGCAGGGGACCACCAGGUUGCCUAAGAAGGGGAGAAUCAACCCAGGUCAGAAAUAAAACAGGUCAGAAUUCCCAUGCUGAUCACUAGUGGGACAAUGUUUGUGAAUAGCCCUCUAGCCUAGGCAACAUAGUGACACUACUGUCU
rfam:Otolemur garnettii contig080733, whole genome shotgun sequence.